CCCCACCGUCGAGACCCAGGUGCUCGGGAAGCGGGUGACACUCCCGCACUGCCCCCGCAACGGUGUUCGCGUCGAUCGAUGUCUGGCCCAGCGCCGACCACUGCCGCCAGGCGGGAAGGUGACAUCGAUCCGCGGUCGUACGUCCACGGCCCAGCGCGUCAGUCCGGAGACCGGCCUGCGUCUCUUCACUGGC
rnacentral:ncRNA from 2 species